rnacentral:rRNA from 1 species
UGACCUCGGAUCAGGUAGGGAUACCCGCUGAACUUAAGCAUAUCAAUAAGCGGAGGUAA